AUGGUUGAGGAUGUGGCACGUACUAAUCUAGCAAGUGUCGUGACCCGGUUGUUCUUGUUUAUAGUAAGUCCACAGACACCUGGAACAAAUAAAAACUUUGGAAACAAUGAAGAGGAAGAAAACAUUGAAGGGAACAACACUAUGGAAUUGCCACUACAUUACCGAGCAUGUGCCGGUGGGAUGAAUGUAUUGGGUCUUCUUCCAUCGACAAGAUUUGCCAGUGCAUUGCAGUGUCGUUGUCGGCGGGCAGCAGGAUCUUUCCUGUCACUGCAAUUUCCUGGCAGGCCGGUGGAUAGAUAUACCCAUGUUUUGGGUGGGGCAUUCUGUCGAACACUUUCUGCGCGCCCUUCCAUCAGAAUUCAGAACCCUUUGCUUGCUGAUCCUGCGCUCAGUUUGAAGCAUCGAGAACCCAAAUUUUGUGAUUAA
rnacentral:rRNA from 1 species